rnacentral:sRNA from 1 species
GCCGGGUGAGGUGGCGAACGCCUGUAAUCCCAGCUACUUGGGAGGCUGAGGUGGGAGAAUCGCUUGAACCCGGGAGGCGGAGGUUGCAGUGAGCUGAGAUCACUCCACCGCACUCCAGCCUGGGUGACACAGCGAGACUCCAUCUCAA